CGCACAUUGCGCCCCUCGGUAUUCCGGGGGGCAUGCCUGUUCGAGCGUCAUUACACCACUCAAGCCUGGCUUGGUAUUGGACGUCGCGGUUCCACCGCGCGCCCUAAUGUCUCCGGCUGAGCCAUCCGUCUCGAAGCGUUGUGAUCAUUCAAAUCGCUUCCAGGCGCGGGUGACUCGGGCCGUCAAACCCCCAAACUUUUACAGGUUGACCUCGGAUCAGGUAGGGAUACCCGCUGAACUUAA
rnacentral:misc_RNA from 1 species